rnacentral:lncRNA from 1 species
CCAGGGUGUGCCGAGGGUGGGAGGAGAUGCUGGCAGCCCUCCAGGGUGGAAUCUACCCUGUAACCUUGACCUAGGGAGUCAGUAGUCUGUGGUGUCAGAAGGUGGCAUUAAAUCAGAGGGCUCAGGAAUCCAUAGUCAGGAGGAACAGAAAAUCAAAAAAAAAAAAAGGAAAAAAAAAUAGAGGCUCUCUAGAAGGGGCCACUUCAGUUGGUGUUGUUUUCAUGCAGGGAGAAAGCAUUCCGCUGCCAAUAGCUCUGCAUUUAUUCAUCUGCCUCUCAAGUUCUCCCGGCCAGCACUGUGCUAGGUUUUACGGCUACUACAAAGAUGAAUGAAAGGUGUUCCCUCCCUGUUCACACCCACGCUCUUGCCUUGCAGGCCUCGCUGCUGAGCACCCGCAGCCUGAUUCCUGGUUUCCUGGGGGCCUUGGGUACAUCCAGGGAGCUCCUGGGACACCUGGAGCAGGCCGCAAGUUGGAACUGGGAUGUAAUCACCCUGCUCGUCUCCUAUGUGGACAAUGAAUGUCUUCCUCUGAGACUCAACGGUGUCACACAUGGUGGCCCCAGUGUGGCACGGCACUCCCUGUGGCCAUCUUCUUAUGCUGAGGAUAAGCGUAAAUGUACUGAAAUAGCCAAAGCAAAGUUUCAACAGCAUCUGGGCAUACUAACUUUUCAAAUGACUACAAGUUUAGGGGUGAACUAG